rnacentral:lncRNA from 1 species
GGGGUGCAGGCAGCUGCUUGGUGCUGGGAGCUCACAAGAGUCUGGCUCAGCUCAGCUCACUUCAGCUCAGUGCAGCUCAGCUUAGCAAGACCCAGUUCCACUCAUCUGCACUCAGCUCAGCUCAGCACGGCUCACUUCAGCUUGGCUCUGCUCAGAAAAUCUCAGCAUGGCUCAGUUCAGUUCAGCUCGGCACGGCUCCACUCAGCUCAGAUUGGUCCAGCUCGGUUUGACUCGGUUUGGCAAGGCACUGCACUGCUUGGCUCGGCAUGGCACGGCUCGGCAUGGCUUGGCAAGGCAGGGCACGGCUCGGCACGGCACGGCACGGCACGGCACGGCACGGCACGGCACGGCACGGCACGGCACAACCGAUCCAACCGCCGGGCCCCUCGCCCCUCUCACCCGACCGGGACAGGAGCGGGGCCGUCCCGGGGCGGAGCCACCCGGCUGUCCCCGCCCCGCAGAGCCGGGGGCUUCGCCGUGCCCCCGCCGGGCCGGGAUGGCAGCGGGACAGACGGACGGCGGCGGGACAGCGGGACAGCGGGACGCUCCGAUCCGGGCCGGGGCUCCGCAGCGCGUCCGUCCCCGCUCCCCUCGGUGCCGCCGGGGGAUAUUUUCCCUUCUCCUCAUUUCUCCGGAGUGGGAAGGCGGGGGGCUGCCAGUGGUCCUAGAGGCAGAGCACACGGGUGCUGCCCUGCGCUGACCGCCCCAUGCCCCCAUAGCGCGGUGCCGUGCCCGGGGCGAUGCUGUGAGCUCCGCUCGGAUGGUCUCAGUUCCUCCCUGCCCUCCACUCCUCCUGCCCAGAUGCAGUGGAUAAUAUUCAUGCUGCUGUUAUUCAUCAGCUCCGUGGAAAUGCUCUCGCAGAACCGAUGGAAGAAGCAAGGUAGGGUGGGUGCGGUGCGUGCAGGGGAUUGGAUUUGCCAAUAUUUCUGUUCCGUGCUCGACGCAGGAGGUGCACAAGGAGCAAAACACUCUGGAAGGAUGCUCGGAGGCACCACCAUCCCCUGCCCCAUCCUUCCCCCAGCAGAGGGACCCGGGGCGCAGAGCAGGGUGCUCAAAGACGUGUCCCCUCUGCUGGGCAAUGACAUGAGAUGCUCAAUUUGUGACCUGGGGUGGGGAUGGGUUAUGGUGAGAGCAGGGCUUUUUGGAGGCCGCAGAAUGGACAGCCUUCCCUGUGUUCAUUGUACAUGGUUGUAA